CCAAACUUGGUCAUUUAGAGGAAGUAAAAGUCGUAACAAGGUUUCCGUAGGUGAACCUGCGGAAGGAUCAUUAACAAAUCCACGUGUGCCGCGCCGCGCUGCCCCGUGCACGCCGGCCGGCCACAUGCGCUCCGUGUGCAUGCAUGCAUUCGUUGCACGCACUGCACGCUGACAUUUCUGCGAAUCGUCUGAUUGUCCGCUCAACAACUAGUCAACUUUUAACAAUGGAUCUCUAGGCUCCUGCAUCGAUGAAGAACGCAGC
rnacentral:misc_RNA from 1 species